rnacentral:rRNA from 1 species
UACGAAGGGGGCUAGCGUUGUUCGGAAUUACUGGGCGUAAAGCGCGCGUAGGCGGACUGACAAGUCGAGGGUGAAAUCCCGGGGCUCAACCUCGGAACUGCCUUCGAUACUGUCAGUCUUGAGGUCGGGAGAGGUGAGUGGAACUCCGGAGUGUAGAGGUGAAAUUCGUAGAUAUUCGGAAGAACACCAGUGGCGAAGGCGGCUCACUGGCCCGAUUCUGACGCUGAGGCGCGAAAGCGUGGGGAGCAAACAGG